rnacentral:misc_RNA from 1 species
AAGUCGUAACAAGGUUUCCGUAGGUGAACCUGCGGAAGGAUCAUUAACACGAAUUAUUUAUUAUCCAAUAUCAAAACCAAACGUGAACCUUUUCCCUCCCUAUAUAUAGCAUAUACUUGCUCUAUGUAGGCUAACCCAUAUAUAACUUUUAACACUUUAAACAUCAACUAGUUUUAAUCUAACUAUUAAAACAUCUAAACUAAGAAAGACAAGCUUAUUCGAAAGAGUAAACUUUAACUUUUUUCGAUUUACGAAAAAUUUAAAAGAACAACUCUUAACAAUGGAUAUCUUGGUUCUC